GCUAGCCCACACCAACCCCACACAGGCUAGCCCACACCAACCCCACACCAAUCCAACACAGGCUAGCCCACACCACACCAACCCCACACCAACCCAACACAGGCUAGCCCACACCAACCCCACACAGGCUAGCACACACCAACCCCAAACCAAUCCAACACAGGCUAGCCCACACCAACCCCACACCAACCCAACACAGGCUAGCCCACACCAACCCCACACCAACCCCACACCAACCCCACACAGGCUAGCACACACCAACCCCAAACCAAUCCAACACAGGCUAGCCCACACCAACCCCACACCAACCCAACACAGGCUAGCCCACACCAACCCCAAACCAAUCCAACACAGGCUAGCCCACACCAACCCAACACAGGCUAGCCCACACCAACCCAACACAGGCUAGCCCACACCAACCCAACACAGGCUAGCCCACACCAACACAACACUGGCCAGGCCACACCAACACAGGCUUGCCCACACCAACCCAACACAGGCUUGCCCACACCAUCCCAACACAGGGUAGCCCACACCAACACAACACGGCAAGGUCACACCAACCCAACACAGGGUAGCCCACACCAACCCAACACAGGGUAGCCCACACCAACACAACACGGGCAAGGUCACACCAACACAACACGGGCAAGGUCACACCAACACAACACGGGCAAGGUCACACCAAGCCCAGCUAGAGGCGGGGGCUCAUUAGAAUAUUUGGGGGCGUGGUUUACACACAGUUGUUUUUGUGCAGCCGUUACUGAGAGUGUGGUUCCUGUUGAAGUGUGGUUCCUGUUGAAGUGUGGUUCCUGUUGAAGUGUGGUUCCUGUUGAAGUGUUCUGUGUUGUGCUGCCUAUAUCCUGAUGAUCUUGUAAACGGCUAAUGAUCAAGUCUUUAGAAACACUUAUAUAAAUGUUUCUCUUGUUAAAUAUAUUCUGUAUGUAUGAUGGUAAUAACUUGGUUGUCUUUCUGAAAAAAUUGUAUCACGUUCCAUAAAUACCUG
rnacentral:lncRNA from 1 species